rnacentral:rRNA from 1 species
UACGGAGGGGGCUAGCGUUGUUCGGAAUUACUGGGCGUAAAGCGCACGUAGGCGGCUUUGUAAGUUAGAGGUGAAAGCCCGGGGCUCAACUCCGGAAUUGCCAUUAAGACUGCAUCGCUAGAAUUGUGGAGAGGUGAGUGGAACUGCGAGUGUAGAGGUGAAAUUCGUAGAUAUUCGCAAGAACACCAGUGGCGAAGGCGGCUCACUGGCCCGAUACUGACGCUGAGGCACGAAAGCGUGGGGAGCAAACAGG